CCUACGGGAGGCAGCAGUGGGGAAUAUUGCACAAUGGGGGGAACCCUGAUGCAGCGACGCCGCGUGAGUGAAGAAGUAUUUCGGUAUGUAAAGCUCUAUCAGCAGGGAAGAAAAUGACGGUACCUGACUAAGAAGCACCGGCUAACUACGUGCCAGCAGCCGCGGUAAUACGUAGGGGGCAAGCGUUAGCCGGAUUUACUGGGUGUAAAGGGAGCGCAGACGGCUGUGCAAGUCUGGAGUGAAAGGCGGGGGCCCAACCCCCGGACUGCUCUGGAAACUGUAAAGCUGGAGUGCAGGAGAGGUAAGUGGAAUUCCUAGUGUAGCGGUGAAAUACGUAGAUAUUAGGAGGAACACCAGUGGCGAAGGCGGCUUACUGGACUGCAACUGACGCUGAAGCACGAAAGCGUGGGUAUCGAACAGGAUUAGAUACCCGAGUAGUC
rnacentral:rRNA from 1 species